UUUAUGGAGAGUUUGAUCCUGGCUCAGGAUGAACGCUGGCGGCGUGCCUAAUACAUGCAAGUCGAGCGAACAGAUAAGGAGCUUGCUCCUUUGACGUUAGCGGCGGACGGGUGAGUAACACGUGGGUAACCUACCUAUAAGACUGGAAUAACUCCGGGAAACCGGGGCUAAUGCCGGAUAACAUGUUGAA
rnacentral:rRNA from 1 species